UACGGAGGGUGCAAGCGUUAUCCGGAAUCACUGGGUUUAAAGGGUGCGUAGGCGGUCCGAUAAGUCAGCCGUGAAAUCGCUGGGCUUAACCCAUGCAAUUGCGGUUGAUACUGUCGGACUUGAAUGGGGUUGAGGCUAGCGGAAUGCGGCAUGUAGCGGUGAAAUGCUUAGAUAUGCCGCAGAACACCGAUUGCGAAGGCAGCUAGCUGGGCCCGAAUUGACGCUGAGGCACGAAAGCGUGGGGAGCAAACAGG
rnacentral:rRNA from 1 species